CAGCAGCCACGGGAAUACAGAGGGUGCGAGCGUUAAUCGGAUUUACUGGGCGUAAAGCGUGCGUAGGCGGCUUCUUAAGUCGGAUGUGAAAUCCCUGAGCUUAACUUAGGAAUUGCAUUCGAUACUGGGAAGCUAGAGUAUGGGAGAGGAUGGUAGAAUUCCAGGUGUAGCGGUGAAAUGCGUAGAGAUCUGGAGGAAUACCGAUGGCGAAGGCAGCCAUCUGGCCUAAUACUGACGCUGAGGUACGAAAGCAUGGGGAGCAAACAGGAUUAGAUACCCGCGUAGUCCUGUCUCUUAUACA
rnacentral:rRNA from 1 species